rnacentral:rRNA from 1 species
AGUGAACGCUGGCGGUAGGCCUAACACAUGCAAGUCGAACGGCAGCACAGUAAGAGCUUGCUCUUACGGGUGGCGAGUGGCGGACGGGUGAGGAAUACAUCGGAAUCUACUUUUUCGUGGGGGAUAACGUAGGGAAACUUACGCUAAUACCGCAUACGACCUACGGGUGAAAGCAGGGGAUCUUCGGACCUUGCGCGAUUGAAUGAGCCGAUGUCGGAUUAGCUAGUUGGCGGGGUAAAGGCCCACCAAGGCGACGAUCCGUAGCUGGUCUGAGAGGAUGAUCAGCCACACUGGAACUGAGACACGGUGCAGACUCCUACGGGAGGCAGCAGUGGGGAAUAUUGGACAAUGGGCGCAAGCCUGAUCCAGCCAUACCGCGUGGGUGAAGAAGGCCUUCGGGUUGUAAAGCCCUUUUGUUGGGAAAGAAAAGCAGCAGGUUGAUACCCCGCUGUUCUGACGGUACCCAAAGAAUAAGCACCGGCUAACUUCGUG